rnacentral:rRNA from 1 species
UACGGAGGGUGCAAGCGUUAUCCGGAAUUAUUGGGUUUAAAGGGUCCGUAGGCGGCUAGAUAAGUCAGUGGUGAAAUUCUCUCGCUCAACGAGAGACCUGCCAUUGAUACUGUCUUGGCUAGAGUUACAGUGAGGUGAGUGGAAUGUGUAGUGUAGCGGUGAAAUGCAUAGAUAUUACACAGAACACCGAUUGCGAAGGCAGCUCACUAACUGUAUACUGACGCUGAUGGACGAAAGCGUGGGGAGCAAACAGGAUUAGAAACCCCAGUAGUCC